rnacentral:rRNA from 1 species
AGAGCGAACGCUGGCGGCAGGCCUAAUACAUGCAAGUCGAACGGACCCUUCGGGGUUAGUGGCGGACGGGUGAGUAACACGUGGGAACGUGCCCUUUGGUUCGGAACAACUCAGGGAAACUUGAGCUAAUACCGGAUGUGCCCUUCGGGGGAAAGAUUUAUCGCCAUUGGAGCGGCCCGCGUCUGAUUAGCUAGUUGGUGGGGUAAAGGCCCACCAAGGCUACGAUCAGUAGCUGGUCUGAGAGGAUGAUCAGCCACACUGGGACUGAGACACGGCCCCAGACUCCUACGGGAGGCAGCAGUAGGGAAUCUUGCGCAAUGGGCGAAAGCCUGACGCAGCCAUGCCGCGUGAAUGAUGAAGGUCUUAGGAUUGUAAAAUUCUUUCAGCGGGGACGAUAAUGACGGUACCCGCAGAAGAACGCCCGGCUAACUUCGUGCCAGCAGCCGC